rnacentral:rRNA from 1 species
UACGUAGGGUGCAAGCGUUGUCCGGAAUUAUUGGGCGUAAAGAGCUCGUAGGCGGUUCGUCACGUCGGCUGUGAAAUCCCGAGGCUCAACCUCGGGUCUGCAGUCGAUACGGGUGGACUGGAGUACUGCAGGGGAGACUGGAAUUCCUGGUGUAGCGGUGAAAUGCGCAGAUAUCAGGAGGAACACCGGUGGCGAAGGCGGGUCUCUGGGCAGUAACUGACGCUGAGGAGCGAAAGCGUGGGGAGCGAACAGG